rnacentral:rRNA from 1 species
UACCCGCAGCACAAGUGGUGGUCAUUAUUAUUGGGCCUAAAGCAUCCGUAGCCGGUUCUACAAGUCUUCCGUUAAAUCCACCUGCUUAACAGAUGGGCUGCGGAAGAUACUAUAGAGCUAGGAGGCGGGAGAGGCAAGCGGUACUCGAUGGGUAGGGGUAAAAUCCGUUGAUCCAUUGAAGACCACCAGUGGCGAAGGCGGCUUGCCAGAAUGCGCUCGACGGUGAGGGAUGAAAGCUGGGGGAGCAAACCGG